CGGGGAGGCAGCAGUGGGGAAUAUUGCACAAUGGGGGAAACCCUGAUGCAGCCAUGCCGCGUGUGUGAAGAAGGCCUUCGGGGUUGUAAAGCACUUUCAGUAGGGAGGAAGGUAGUGUAGUUAACACCUGCAUUAUUUGACGUUACCUACAGAAGAAGCACCGGCUAACUCCGUGCCAGCAGCCGCGGUAAUACGGAGGGUGCGAGCGUUAAUCGGAAUUACUGGGCGUAAAGCGCAUGCAGGCGGCCUGUUAAGUCAGAUGUGAAAGCCCGGGGCUUAACCUCGGAAUUGCAUUUGAAACUGGCAGGCUAGAGUCUUGUAGAGGGGGGUAGGAAUUUCAGGUGUAGCGGUGAAAUGCGUAGAGAUCUGAAGGAAUACCAGUGGCGAAGGCGGCCCCCUGGACAAAGACUGACGCUCAGAUGCGAAAGCGUGGGGAGCAAACAGGAUUAGAUACCCUGGUAG
rnacentral:rRNA from 1 species